GUGUUGGAUAUAGGUAGUCAGUCAUAUAAUUAUUUUACUUUUUAUCACAAACCUAAUCAGUGCAUCACAGAACAACUUGUUUUCCAUUGCUAGAAGGCUUGUAAUGUUUACCGGGAGUUGGAUAUUGAGGGAUGUAAGUGUGGACAGUAGGUUUUGUUUCUUGAACAUGGUUUUCACAUGCAAAAAAUAAAUGGUUCAAAUCCGCUACAGAGUUAUCAUCACAUGUACAUAACCUAGUGUUGUGUGUGCCUAUUCUAAAUAAAUGUGCGGGAAAACUUCCGUGAUUGAGUUUGAGCCGUGUUAUUGUGACGGCAUAAAACCUUGUAUAUAUGUAUAUU